GGAUUGUGGCUCAGUGGCAGAGUGUGUGCCUAGCAUGUGUGAAGCACUGGGUUCGAUUCUCAGCACCA
rnacentral:tRNA from 1 species